rnacentral:rRNA from 1 species
AUGGCCAAUGGUUUAACAGGAAUAGACCUUGCACGCUGCUGGAUACCAUGGAGCAUUUUGCCUCUAAGCCGGCGCCCAAAUUUGAUGUGCGAGUAUACUGAUAGUGUCGAUGACCCACUCCGACACACUAAAAUCCAGCUCCCUGAUGACGAAGUCACAGAAUCUGUGAAAAAGAUGCUGAAUGAACCGGAGCACCUCUGUGCUCAAACCGGUCUGCCUCCUUACUGCACCACCAACAAAUCGCCAGCGGGUGAUAAUCCAUUUUGGAAUGAGAAACUUCCUCAAGACAAAAUGGAAAAGGCAGGACGGCCAACCCGUCCCAAGACCAAGGUUAUCAAGAAGCCAGCUCAUAAGAGAAAAACCACCGCUUCAUCUGACCCAGCCAUUGACGAUGAUGAUGACGCUGAAGCCAGCAAUGCAGGUUUUGUUGAGACCCAGCAACACGAAGCUCGCCGCACAACCCAGCACAGUGGCCAGGUCACUUCUCAUUCAUCGUCUGGUGAAUCAUCAGCAACCCAGCUACCACCUUUGAAAACAGUUGCUGGGGCUAAACCGAAACCAAGCAAGAAGGCCCGCCUGGAUAGAGCGGCUGAAGAAGAUGUGGCCCCAGAACAUGACCAAGCACCUGAUCAUGAAGUGUUUACUUGUGAAGAUAUCCCCAAUGAUCCUCCUCUGCAAGACGACGUUAUCCCUGAAGAAGGUCCUUUUCAUAUUCCAGCCUCUGCUGAUCCGCCUGCCAGCUCUGUCCAGAUUGAGAAAUCCCACACUCCUGCUGACAAACCGGCCGCACCAACCCAAACCGGCGAGUCAAAAGAUGAUGAUGUUGUGAUUACCGGCGUAGGCCGCUCUGAACCUGGGAAUCCUGCCACCCUUACCAGGCAUACCAUCAAAGAGGAUUCUUCCCCUUUGAACAAAGGAAAAUGGGGUGUUGAAUUAGAGACAUACGCCAAUCUGAAUGCUCAAGAUCUUCACUCUGGCUACUUAAACCGGCUUUAUACUAGCCGUGACUGUGAAGCUGGCUUGGUCAAAAUGAUGAGGGAUAAAUUUGAGGCUGAAGUGAAAAUCAAGGAGGACCAGAUUGCCGAUUUGCAGGAGGCCCUAAAGACCCAGCAGGCUGAAACAGAUAAGGCAAAGCAAGAAUUGACCAGCGCUUUGAGCACUGCUGAACGGCUGAAAGAAGGCUUCAAGAAAGAGCGGGCUGACUGGGCCACUGAGAAGGCCGGUUUAACCAAAAGAGCAGAAAACGCUGAAGCAGCCCUUAAACCGGUGGUGGAUGAACUGACGGUCGUACAGCGGCAAAUACACUCUAUGACUGCUGCAAUCUUUGGCACACGUAUUGGGCACUUAGGAAAUGAUGUGCGGAAGAAAUUGAAAGUUGCCUACACCUUGGUGGAACAAUUGUAUAUCGGAGCCCAACGGAUCAUCACCACAGCUUCCUACAACAACCCGGCGCCCUCUUUAAUCCAGGACACUCUUAGCAAGCUGUCAAUGCUUCCAGCCCGGAUUGAGGAGCUGAAAAAAUCCGCUGCCCGAACCGGAGCCAUCAAUGCCUUAAUCCGGGCAAAGGCAUGGGUGCCCGACUUUGAUCCUGUGGAAGCAGCUCAAGGCUAUCCCAGUCUGAAAGAAGAUGGCUCUGAAUUCAACGAAGAGGAUUUAAGGGCCAUAAACCGUGCAGUGCACCCGCUGGCUUGCCAGCUAGCUGAAGAGGCAGAUUUGACGCAUUAUCAAGCGGAAUAUAAUAAUCAAAACAAGCGAGUGCCGGCCCCAACUGUUGAAGCGGAGAAUCUGAUUCCUCCAACCCGUAAGCACACCUACGCCCCUGAUAUUGAACCGUCUUCCCUGAUCCAUGAAGAGGCUAUUUUCCAAGCUUUAAUGGGAAUCGACUGGACCACUGUUGAUUUCCAGCCAAUGGGUAGAGACGAGGAAGCUGAAGCGGCGGAGGAUGAGGAGCAGGCUUGA